GAUGAAGAACGUAGCGAAAUGCGAUAAGUAAUGUGAAUUGCAGAAUUCAGUGAAUCAUCGAAUCUUUGAACGCACAUUGCGCCCCUUGGUAUUCCGGGGGGCAUGCCUGUUCGAGCGUCAUUAUAACCCCUCAAGCUCAGCUUGGUGUUGGGGCCUGCCAACUGGCAGCCCUUAAAAUCAGUGGCGGCGCCAUCUGGCUCUAAGCGUAGUAAUUUCUCUCGCUAUAGGGUCCCGGUGGAUGCUUGCCAACAACCCCCAAUUUUCUAUGGUUGACCUCGGAUCAGGUAGGGAUACCCGCUGAACUUAAGCAUAUCAAUAGCGGAGGA
rnacentral:misc_RNA from 1 species